rnacentral:rRNA from 1 species
GGGGUGCAACACGAGGACUUCCCAGGAGGUCACCCAUCCUAGUACUACUCUCGCCCAAGCACGCUUGACUGCGGAGUUCUGAUGGGAUCCGGUGCAUUAGAGCUGGUAUGAUCGCACCC